rnacentral:rRNA from 1 species
GUGGGGAAUAUUGGACAAUGGGCGCAAGCCUGAUCCAGCCAUGCCGCGUGAGUGAUGAAGGCCUUAGGGUUGUAAAGCUCUUUUGUCCGGGAAGAUAAUGACUGUACCGGAAGAAUAAGCCCCGGCUAACUUCGUGCCAGCAGCCGCGGUAAUACGAAGGGGGCUAGCGUUGUUCGGAAUCACUGGGCGUAAAGCGCACGUAGGCGGACCAUUAAGUCAGGGGUGAAAGCCUGGAGCUCAACUCCAGAACUGCCUUUGAUACUGAUGGUCUCGAGUAUGGAAGAGGUUGGUGGAACUGCGAGUGUAGAGGUGAAAUUCGUAGAUAUUCGGAGGAACACCAGUGGCGAAGGCGGCUCACUGGCUCGAUACUGACGCUGAGGUGCGAAAGCGUGGGGAGCAAACAGGAUUAGAAACCCUGGUAGUCC